GUGAUGGAAAAUUUGGGUUGGUUGCAUCUUUGAAUAGCACUUCAUGUUCAAUUGCAUUUUAGCUUUUGAACCAGUGUAACAUUUUUGAACGCAUUCUUUCUAUUGGUCCUUUUGUUCUUUUGGUCCAACUUAUGUCCAAUAUGGGAAAAUACUCACUAAAACAAAUUAUUGGAAGUCUCGUUCCUGAAUUAAUACCUUAAUUGCG
rnacentral:misc_RNA from 1 species